rnacentral:rRNA from 1 species
GACGAACGCUGGCGGCGUGCUUAACACAUGCAAGUCGAACGGAAAGGCCCUGCUUUUGUGGGGUGCUCGAGUGGCGAACGGGUGAGUAACACGUGAGUAACCUGCCCUUGACUUUGGGAUAACUUCAGGAAACUGGGGCUAAUACCGGAUAGGAGCUCCUGCUGCAUGGUGGGGGUUGGAAAGUUUCGGCGGUUGGGGAUGGACUCGCGGCUUAUCAGCUUGUUGGUGGGGUAGUGGCUUACCAAGGCUUUGACGGGUAGCCGGCCUGAGAGGGUGACCGGCCACAUUGGGACUGAGAUACGGCCCAGACUCCUACGGGAGGCAGCAGUGGGGAAUAUUGCACAAUGGGCGGAAGCCUGAUGCAGCAACGCCGCGUGCGGGAUGACGGCCUUAGGGUUGUAAACCGCUUUCGCCUGUGACGAAGCGUGAGUGACGGUAAUGGGUAAAGAAGCACCGGCUAACUACGUGC